UUCAGUUUUUUCGUCCCUCGCGAAGAAACAUAAACAGUAUUUGUGAAAUUUGGAUUAGAAACUAUUAUUUUAUUAAUUUAUUUUGUUGUGUUUAAGUGUUGUGUAUUUGUACCUACUGGAUAAUAUUUUCCAACAUAUUUAAUUAAGCAAAAAGCAUCUGUUUUACAGGUGUGACUGCUAAGUGGUCGUACUCGCCACUUUAACCAAGCAUUGGUGGGACCUUCAGAGAUCAUAAUGCGAAUUUCUUCAUACCAUGUAAAUCUAUAUACAUGUAUUAAUAAAUGCGUUUGCUUUA